AACGAACGCUGGCGGCAGGCCUAACACAUGCAAGUCGAGCGAAGCCUUCGGGCUUAGCGGCGGACGGGUGAGUAACGCGUGGGAACGUGCCCUUUGGUACGGAAUAGCCCCGGGAAACUGGGAGUAAUACCGUAUGUGGUCGAGAGACGAAAGAUUUAUCGCCAAAGGAUCGGCCCGCGUUGGAUUAGGUAGUUGGUGGGGUAAUGGCCUACCAAGCCGACGAUCCAUAGCUGGUUUGAGAGGAUGAUCAGCCACACUGGGACUGAGACACGGCCCAGAAUCCUACGGNNGGCAGCAGUGGGGAAUCUUAGACAAUGGGGGAAACCCUGAUCUAGCCAUGCCGCGUGAUCGAUGAAGGCCUUAGGGUUGUAAAGAUCUUUCAGUGGGGAAGAUAAUGACUGUACCCACAGAAGAAGCCCCGGCUAACUCCGUGCCAGCAGCCGCGGUAAUA
rnacentral:rRNA from 1 species